rnacentral:rRNA from 1 species
UACGUAGGGUGCGAGCGUUGUCCGGAAUUAUUGGGCGUAAAGAGCUCGUAGGCGGUCUGUCACGUCGGAUGUGAAAACUCGGGGCUCAACCCCGAGCCUGCAUACGAUUACGGGCAGACUUGAGUUCGGCAGGGGAGACUGGAAUUCCUGGUGUAGCGGUGAAAUGCGCAGAUAUCAGGAGGAACACCGGUGGCGAAGGCGGGUCUCUGGGCCGAUACUGACGCUGAGGAGCGAAAGCGUGGGGAGCGAACAGG